UCCUGGUUAACCCAGGCAGUCUCAUUAGAGUUCCCACCUUAAAUGUUGGCAACUAAUGAUAAGGGUUGCGCUCGUUGCGGGACUUAACCCAACACCUCACGGCACGAGCUGACGACAGCCAUGCAGCACCUGUGUAGCGACCCUUGCGGGAGAUGGCAUUUCUACCACUGUCCACUACAUGUCAAGUCUGGGUAAGGUUCUUCGCGUUGCAUCGAAUUAAACCACAUGCUCCACUGCUUGUGCGGGCCCCCGUCAAUUCUUUUGAGUUUCACCCUUGCGAGCGUACUCCUCAGGCGGUAUACUUAUCGCGUUAGCUACGACACAACUGGGGUUGAGACCAGCUCCAUCAAGUAUACAUCGUUUACGGCUAGGACUAC
rnacentral:misc_RNA from 1 species